rnacentral:rRNA from 1 species
AUACGUAGGGUGCAAGCGUUAAUUGGAAUUACUGGGCGUAAAGCGUGCGCAGGCGGUUUUGUAAGACAGAGGUGAAAUCCCCGGGCUCAACCUGGGAACUGCCUUUGUGACUGCAAAGCUAGAGUACGGCAGAGGGGGGUGGAAUUCCGCGUGGAGCAGUGAAAUGCGUAGAUAUGCGGAGGAACACCGAUGGCGAAGGCAAUCCCCUGGGCCUGUACUGACGCUCAUGCACGAAAGCGUGGGGAGCAAACAGGAUUAGAUACCCUGGUAGUCCACGCCCUAAACGAUGUCAACUGGUUGUUGGGUCUUCAUUGACUCAGUAACGAAGCUAACGCGUGAAGUUGACCGCCUGGGGAGUACGGCCGCAAGGUUGAAACUUAAAGGAAUUGACGGGG